rnacentral:tRNA from 1 species
GCUGAUAUAGCUUAGUAGGUAGAGCACAUCCUUGGUAUGGAUGAGGUCGGCAGUUCAAUUCUGCCUAUCAGCA